rnacentral:SRP_RNA from 1 species
GCUGGGUGAGGUGAUGCAUGCCUGUAAUCCCAGCUACUGGGAGACUGAGGUGGAAGGAUCACUUGAGCCCAGGAGUUCUGGGCUCUUGUGUACUCUGCCCAUCCAGUGUCCACAUCCAAAGUGGGCAUUAAUAUGGUGACUUCUUGGGAGUGGGGGACCACCAGGUUGCCUAAGGAGGGGGAUAAACCAGCUUCGGCUGGAAACAGAACAGGUCAAAACUCCCAUGCAGAUCAGUGGUGGGAUUGUACCUGUGAAUAGCCACUGCACUCCAGCCUGGGCAACACAGCGAGAUCCCAUCUCU